UACGUAGGGGGCAAGCGUUAUCCGGAUUUACUGGGUGUAAAGGGAGCGUAGGCGGCCAUGCAAGUCAGAAGUGAAAACCCGGGGCUCAACCCUGGGAGUGCUUUUGAAACUGUGCGGCUAGAGUGUCGGAGGGGUAAGUGGAAUUCCUAGUGUAGCGGUGAAAUGCGUAGAUAUUAGGAGGAACACCAGUGGCGGAGGCGGCUUGCUGGACGGUAACUGACGCUGAGGCUCGAAAGCGUGGGGAGCAA
rnacentral:rRNA from 1 species